CCUACGGGAGGCAGCAGUAAGGAAUAUUGGUCAAUGGACGCAAGUCUGAACCAGCCAUGCCGCGUGCAGGAUGAAGGCCCUCUGGGUUGUAAACUGCUUUUAUAGGGGACGAAAAAGGGACUUUCUAGUUCAACUGACGGUACCCUAGGAAUAAGCACCGGCUAACUCCGUGCCAGCAGCCGCGGUAAUACGGAGGGUGCAAGCGUUAUCCGGAUUUACUGGGUUUAAAGGGUGCGUAGGUGGGUUGGUAAGUCAGCGGUGAAAUCUUCAAGCUUAACUUGGAAACUGCCAUUGAUACUAUCAAUCUUGAAUCAUCUGGAGGUAAGCGGAAUAUGUCAUGUAGCGGUGAAAUGCUUAGAUAUGACAUAGAACACCAAUUGCGAAGGCAGCUUACUACGGAUGUAUUGACACUGAGGCACGAAAGCGUGGGGAUCAAACAGGAUUAGAUACCCUGGUAGUCCACGCCCUAAACGAUGGAUACUCGACAUACGUGAUAUACUAUGUGUGUCUGAGCGAAAGCAUUAAGUAUCCCACCUGGAAGUACGAUCGCAGAUUGAAACUCAAAGGAAUUGACGGNNGAGAGNGCGAGGACGACGACGAGGGAGGAGG
rnacentral:rRNA from 1 species